rnacentral:rRNA from 1 species
GUCCGCCUCACCGCGUGCACUGGUCCGGCCGGGCCUUUCCUCCUGGGGAGCCGCAUGCCCUUCACUGGGUGUGUCGGGGAACCAGGACGUUUACUUUGAAAAAAUUAGAGUGUUCAAAGCAGGCCUAUGCUCGAAUACAUUAGCAUGGAAUAAUAGAAUAGGACGUGUGGUUCUAUUUUGUUGGUUUCUAGGACCGCCGUAAUGAUUAAUAGGGAUAGUCGGGGGCAUCAGUAUUCAAUUGU